AAAUAGGAAGGCCAAAUUUGAGUUUUUCUGAACUCAAGGAAUCAUUGAAAGAAUUACUCCAAACUUUGGAGACCAAAAAUAUAUUUUAUUUUAUCAUAUUGAGAUGAGUUUUUUUUUCUUUUAAGCACUUGUGGAUCAGCCUUUCGUUUCGUCACUCGUUCCACGUAGUUUUGGUAUGUGUUGUUCACCCCUUCCAGUGUUUGCCCCUUUGGAUUUUGUUAGGGUUAAGGUUCCUCCUCAUUUCUCUUGGUUUCCGAAUUCCUCCUUUGAACGGGUUUGCCGGGACCCCAUUUUCUCUCUUUUCUGCCCUUCGAUGCAUUUUUUUUCAAUCCCUUGGAAUAUUUAUCAGACAAAUUUUAAUUCCUUGUAAUUUUAUUUUUUGUUCUCUGGUUUAAUCUAAAUUUCAGAUCCUUUUGUAGAUCCCGCGGCUAAAGCAUAGACAGGAGAAGUAAAGGCGGGGGAACAUUUCAGUGACUAAAUCAUCAGAUCUUUCGUUCUUUUUUAAUCUUCCUCUCUUGGUUGUCGAGCCAGUUUUCACUUCCCCCAGCCCCUGGAUUCGUUACCAUAAUUCAUUGGUUUAUAUACUUUUAUGAAUUUAUUUUUUGUUCAAAUACCGUCGGAUAUUAUGAAUUCUUAAAUUGCUCUUCCCUGCUUCUCUUGCGUGUGCAAACAGAUGAUCGGUAUUUCAGCGAUCUCCAUAAAUUAUGUUGGGGUCCGGUGAGAUUGUUUCUCUAAUAGGGACUGCUUUUUUAUGAUUUCUCAACGAGUUUUAUGCGAGGAGGACCUAUUGGUGCUGACAUUUUUGUUUCCUUCUUCUUCACUUGAUAGGUUUUGUGAGAAGGCUAUGCCGAUGGCGAGGAGCUAACAAGGAAUCCCUGUUGCUGCUGCUGAUUUUUUCAAGCUUGACUGGGACUAUGAAUCUGUAUGCAUUACAAUCUCAAUUACUCUUGGUUUUUUCUUUUAUUUUCAUGAUGUCUCGUUUAAUAAACAACCAAAAAGAUUUGUUCUGCUUCACCUGGUUCAGUUCCGAGAUCAAAGCCUCCGGAAGGGAAGCUCGCCUUGACUGGCUUCUCGCUACUGCAAUCAUUGUCCCACGUUGGAACUUUUUGAUGUUGACUUAUGGGCCCUUGUAUUACAAGGCAAUUUCUUGCUUAUGUUGCGUAUGUUUUCCUGGUUUUCUUACUCUUAGUGUGUUAUUGCUGUCCCAUGAUAAGCUAUCUCUCUUGGGCUUAGCAUGGUUCCUACAGGUAAUGUAAAUUAUUGAACCAAGAACGGCCAAUGUACAAUGUCCCAUGCACAGUUAGCAUCUAGAAAUUUUACAGUAGCCUCUUAUGUUAACCCAAAAUUCAUUAAGGGACAAUCAUUUAAUUUCUAUGGUGCUCUAGGAUUGCAUUCUUUUUUUCAUAUAUUGUUUAUCAUCCUCUUGGAGGAGGGGUCUAGUACUUCAUGCCAUGAAUCACAAAUUCCCUACACUCGAGCAAUGAAAAAUCUCUUCCUUUUAGUUAUUGGAUUAGUUGACAACUUUUAUUUCCUUUGUGGUCAAACUUAAUAGUUCAAUUCCAUGAACUAUGAUUCUUCAGUAAAAAGGUUCUCACAGGACAAAUUCUAAAUGUGAAAUAACACCAUGAUUGGGACUUAUGUUCUCAAGGGCUCGACCAUUUGCCUACCACCCAUUUGCAAAUAGAAAGGUCUACCUUUAUGGUUACAUAGAUUAAAAGCUCAUGCAUUCAAGAGCAAAACAUGUUAUUGCAUAAUAUGCUUGCAUGUAGGUUGCUAAUGUCUUUACCAGUCUUUAGAUAAAUCAUAGUUUAUGCCACCUCUUGCUCGGCCCAUUAAAUUUUUAAAAGGAAUGGGAUGAUGGAUGAAGAUAAUUUUGGCGGAUGAAGUGGCGAGGUGCCUCUAAGGUGUCAUGUGAUUAUCAAUAAUGCACCAGUAGCACAUACUUCAAAGUGUUGGUCAAUGAAAGAAUCUCCAACAAAAGAAGAUGAAUUUGAUAGAACUAGAAAUAUUAACAUGAAUGUGUUGUAGAACUAGAAAUAGAGUGAUGAACUAAUUUAUUGGAGAAGGCAUAGUAGACUAAAAAUCAAGAAGAAAGUGAUCAAGAAACAUUUGAGAUGAUGUGAGCAAGUUUGAUGGGAAUUUGAGAAGGUCUUGUUUAGAAGAGGCUAUUGAAUCUGUAUAAGAUUUUUGAAAAGAGGAAAAGGCCUAAGCUAACAUGGAUGGAAGUUGUUAGGAAAAAAUUUAAAGGGCUGGCUACUAACAUGGAGCUAGUCCUAAAUAGGAAUGACUAGCUAAUAAGAAUUUAUGAAGCCCAAAUUAAAUUGCUGGUGCAAGCCUGAUGGUUACACUUACCAUUAAUUCAAUGCAUGCAUUGUGUUGUGUGGCAUCUUAGUUAUGUCUGGUCUUUUCAAAUAGUUAUACUGACCUUCUUGCUCAAGUUUGGAUCAGCUUUUGAGCUUAGUAAGGAGGUGCUUUUGAUUAGGUUGCCAUAAAUACUCAGUGAUAAAGGAUAUGAUAUUGUUAUGAAGGGUCAAAGGUAAUAAAUAUCCUUAUAUUCAGUGUAUUAAAAGAUUGUAAGCAUUAAAUGUGUAGGAGGGGGCACUAUAGAAUAAAUUUAAUGAGAAGUGUACAAGGUUAUAAUCCAAUAAAUAAAGCAUAAAGAAGGCCAUUACCUAGUUAUGGUUCCAGCAAUUGGGGUCCUUGGGGUUGUGGGGGGGGGGGUGUAGAUUGGGAAUAGACAUAAUCUUUGUCCCUUUUUUGGCAAAACAUGGCUGUUCCAGAACUUUAAAUUGUACUACCGCACUUGUCAAACCAAGCCUUUACCAUUGCAUCAAGCAAUAGCCCCUCCAAUGAAUAAUACAUGAAUGUUAAAUAAUAUUUAGUAUGUCAAUGGGAAAUAUCAACUCUGAUAUGUCCGAUAGGGUACUAAAUAAAGGAUGUGAUGCAAAAUCAUUAAUGUAGGCUGUCUGUGGAGUGAAGUCAGUUAUGUUCUAAAACAAUGUUAUAAAACAGAAGAACUGAUAAAAGUAGGAUCUCGGUUUCCUUUUUUCAUAAUAAUGAUAAAAUUGAGUUUCAAGAUCUUUCUUUAAACUAAUCAGAUCCACCCUUACACAACCCCAGUUGGAGUUCUCUUCUAUUUAAAAGAUAGCACAACUUUCCUAAAAUAGACAUGUCUAGUUAAAACAAUCGUAAAAAACUUAAAUUCUUACAAGAGGUGGAUCUAAAUUUUUAUAUUGACUUUGUUUUCAGCCACUUUGCUUUAUUUUUCCCAUUCUGAGAAAUAUGUCCAGUCAAAGUCUUUGUCAAAAAAAAAUUUCAUUUUGAUCAGUCUGUUUUGAGAUCUAAAGGAUGGAAUUAGCCCUUGAUCAUUAAGUGUGUUAUUUCCUUUAGGGGUAGGUGUCAUGUUGUAGAUCUUGAGAAGUUUCUGAUUUCAAAAAAAGAAAAAAAAAGCAUAUUAGUCACAGGCAAGUUAGGGUCCGUAGGAGUUGGUGUGCGAUUUGGCUUCUUGAUGUAGCAAUCUUGCUCCUGUACUCUAUGCAGACUUGCCCAUACUGGUCCAAAUUGAGUUUGGUGAUCCUCUUGAAUUAGGUCAUAAGAGAGUAGCGUAUACAUGAAUGGGCAUUGAGGUCAAAUUCUAGUGAAUGUAAAAUAGAUAGUCAUACUAUGUUAGUAUAAUGCAGUUGGGUCAUAAAAGGAGCAGCAUGUGGAUGAAGAGACAUUGAAAUCAGAUUAAUUUGGGAAUAAACAAUGAAGCAAGACAUAUAUAAUUCUUUUCCAUCUUAGUUUUAACAAUCUCACCAACUCCAGCUCGAUGCCUUAGUAUAUCUCUGUAGAGGCUUGUGUAUCUUGAGUUUCUAUGCUUGGACCACCAAGUUCUUGAGAAGACAUUCCUUCAUAUGGUGGGAAGAUGCUUGAUGCCUUCCACCAAGUUCUGUGCAAUCCAUCAGCAUUAAUUGAAGCCCUCAUAUUUUCUAUGUUCACAAGGCUAUCACCAGCAUAUGAGGAUCCACCAAUUGGCACAUCCCUUUUGAAUGUAGAGGAGGUUAAAUCUUUCUUGUCCUAGUGUUUGCUCCACAACAAUUCUUGUCCAAAUGGAAUAUCUGGAACCCAUUAUUUUCAGCUCAUCCCAGUUUUUAUAGAUAAAGAUAGCAGGGAAUAUCAAGAGAACUGAAGUUGUAGUAAUUCCCGUGAUGAGGAAGAGUCCACCAAAGUUGUGGAACUUUAGACUCUGUGAGCCUAUGGUGUUGUCUUGAUUUUGGCAAGUAUUUUCGUAACCAAUCCAUUUCCUCUCUAUUUCCACCAUUUUAUCCCCUUGUGUUACAUUUAAGACUGCCCUUGAUACGUCAGGGACUAAUGGGGAACCUUUGGCAAAGACCUGUGAAACAGAUAAAAGUAAGAAUAUCUCCAUAAUAUGUUCAUCUGUGAUAAAAGAUUCAAGCUUCCUCCAGAGCAGAAACAAUGUAUAGCUUGCAUGUAUAAACAAGGAUUUUGAGAACCUGAAAAAGUUAAAUUUUAAGAUUUCAAAUAUCCUUGUUGAGUUAUGAAGAGAGGGAAGAGGGAUAACAUACAAAUCCAAACCCAGCAGUCCUGUAGACUGGUCCAACCAUUGUGUAUCCGCUACAGUGUUCUGCAAGGAAGCUCUUGACGUAUGGGAUCUCAUGGAAGAUAGCAGAUACACCAUUAUUGUGGCUCCCUUUGGAGAGUGCCUCUGCAUAUUGAUCAGAACUUCCCAAGUCUCUAAGCUUGGACUCAUCAAAGUGGAGCUGCAUCAGCAGCUCUUUCACAAAGGAACCCCGAUGAUAGCCAACAUAGUCACCAUUUUUUAUAAGCUGUUUUAUGUCCGUAACAGUUGGCUGGAGCUGUUCAACAGUCAACAUGGAGGUCAAACUGGCUGUGUAACUUGAUGCGAGGAUCAGCACAACAAAUACCCAUAUGAUUAGUAUGAUCUUUGAUAAGUUGCUCUCCACUUUUCUCCUGAAACCAUAGUAAAAAUAUUACUCUUUCUCGAUCAUGGCUGUGGUUGCCUGAUCUUGGCAUUAGAUAGUUAAGGGGUAAUUACUUAACUAUGAUCAAAAACAAGUGUUGAGAAAGCAAAAUAGAAGAUGGUUCCAAGUUGUUGGGACGUAUGGCCCCGAAAUUCUUCUUUGAUUCAAUGCUCCACCACCCACACCACAAAUCCUGUAAAGAAAAAGAAGGCCAAGGUCCCUAGCCAGAGGUCCACUGUGAGUGGCUUCAAGAAGAUCCAUGCAUUCUUCCUUGCAUCCUCUUUGACUGGAACAAUCAUAACCACUCCUGAUUCUGUGUAUGGCAAUGUAAAAUCCACAUACAACGAACGGUUGGCUAUAAUUGUGACGUCUCCUGCCACAGCAUCAUAAUUCUGUUGAACCCAAAUGUGGUCAGUAACUUAUAUACAGGCACUGUAGCAAUAGCAUUUAAAAACAAUAAUUCAGUCAGGUGAUUUCAUUGUGUGAUUUUUUUUUUUUGUGGGGGGGUGGGGUGUGGAAUUGGGAGAUGUGGAAUGGUUUGGAAUUGUGUCAACCUUGAUUUUCUUAGGGAUUCUUAAAAUUUGAAAGAGAUUGUUAGUUCUUCUGCAAAAUUACAAACUUACUUGGUUGUGCUGGAGAAUCUUGUUAACGCUAAUUUCACCUUGUUUUCUCCAAGAACAAAUCAUGAUUUUAUACUUGAGUUUCAUCAAAAAUUAGUUGGAAGUUUGGAACUAGAAACUUCUGGUUCAUCUUUUUAAAGUCAUAAUAUUUCUCUUCAGUUGUUGCUUCUUCUUCCUCUAUUGUUAGUUUUUGACCACUCACACACUUUAUUCAAUUUAACUUCCUUGCCUACAUACCUGAAGGCAGACCUGGUAUGUAAGUUCAUCAUAUGAUCCUGCAGUGUCCCCUCUGGCAUUUUCAUAAUGAACAUACUCGUAAGGGAUUGCAUAUGGCAAAGCUUGCUUCACAGAUCAAAGACAUCAAUGCAGUACCCACUCACUGCUGUGGCAUUAGUGAGAGGAUUCCAUUCCACCUUUACAAACUCAUGAAACCCAUCUUUUACUGGGACCCCUAUCUUCAACUUUUUUUCACCUGUUGGGAUUUCCCACCCUUUGGGCACUAUGGUUGAUUCUCCAGGCUAGAAAGUGGUGCUAAGUUCAGUCAUGGAAGUUGAAUAUGUUCUGCUGAUUGGAUUCCGUGUCCUUGAGAUCCCAUGUGCUGGUGUCCAGAAACCAAUCACUCUUUCCCCUUUCCCAAUUACAUUAAUUAUUUGAAAGGUGGAUGAUUGUGAUUUCCCAUCAAUGAGACAGAGUUCCCCACUAAGGCCAUCGAAUUUGGUAUCUCGGAUUGCCUUGAGUAGACCUGGACCUGUCUCAGAGAAUUCUAACAUAUCCAAGAUGCUCGAAUUGUUGGUGAUCUGGGGUCGCAAAAAGGUAGAAUUUGUGAUCCCAACACUCUCUGCAGCCAUUGCUAGUGCACAAACUGUAUCAUAUGCCCACAGGGCAAAAAUGCUAAGUUCUGCUUUCUCAAUAUCAGGAUGCUCCUGCUGGAAUUUUCUUUUCCAUCGAAUCGUGAAUUCAUUCAGCUUUCUUGUAUUUGGUACAUAAGGCCUGACUCCUAAUAGUCCUUGCAUCGAGUCAAUUAUAGAUUGGUCAAAGGAAUUUAAUAGAUUUGUUACUCCAUCUGUUAUAAUCCACACAUAGCCUUCUGUCAUCAUUCCUGCCUCAUUUGCCUUUAGAAAGAAAUUGGUGCCAAGAAACGGUGCCAUGUGCACAAUGAAGACCCUUGUUUGCAUGGUUUGUAGUUUGUAUAACUCCCCCAAUAUCUGGUCAUCGGUUGCUGACAGAGGAAUGACACUGUGGUAGGGUACAUAAGCAUCAAUCUCUUGUAGGGCGUCGAUGAGAUAUGGCACGGUGCCUGCACUAUAAUCAGUGUGCUCAUAGACAAGGGUGACUCUCCGCCAUCCAAGGGCCUUAAUAAUUGAGGCUAUAGAAUUCACCUGAGAAGAGUCAUUAAAUGCUGUACGCACAAAAUAUGUUGCACGGGCAGGGGAGACAGAAGGGCUUGUUGCUGAAAAAGAAACAAUAGGGACUUGAAUCUUGUUCCCAAGAUCUGAUAGGAACACAGCCUGAGAAGAUUUUUGGGGACCUAUGAUUGCCUGCACUCUGACAUUGCUUAACAACUUGAGAGCUGCAUGCACGUGAAGAAAAUAAGUUUAGAAGUCAUCCUGGUAAGUGUUUAGUUCUUGAAGGAAGGUCCAUGACUUGACCGCUGGCUAUUUUGGUUAAAGUCCACCGAAGCUUAAAAUUGAUGAUUGCUUAUUUAUGAUAUCAGCAAAGUUUAAAUUCUCCUACUUUUUGUUUCUUGUGGUGUCUAAAUCAUGACCAGCAAGAAGUCUAUUAUUUCUGUGUCAUUUUGUAGCUUCUAAAUUGGAUGACCAUCCUUUGUCAUUAGAUUGUCCAAAUAGAUGGUGAAGAGCUGUCAUGGGGUCAGAUGGUAAGGCAUAAUUGAAUUGUGUGCAGUCUACACAUUAUUUCCAGCUUAUGGAUCAUACGUUAUACCUGUAAGGGCAUUUGCUGCAGUCCUAACUGCAGUUGGUAGCACAAACAUUUCAUGAUCAGACAGGUAUUCAUAUAUGAUGUGCAUUGCUGCAUUCUGCUUAGGUAUAUGAUGUCGACAUGGUUGAUUAUAUAAUCAUUAGAGUGUCUACUGGUCCAUGCUGUUUGGAAAUGUGCUAUAUCUAUAUAGAUAUCGAAGACCUGAUUAAAGGUUGGAAACAUGACGUUUUUCCUUCUUUUUCCUCUCAAGAGAUGAUUUCUACGUUACGAUGAACUGUUUUAUUAAGUUCUAGGCUGGUUCCUGUUAAUUUUAGUUUGUUCUCCUUCUGGUGUGCUUAGUCUGUUCUUGCUCUUAUGCCUUUGUGAAUUCCUCAUGAAUUGUUGGUUUGUCAUUUUUUUUUUUUCAACUGUUGUUAUUCUUUUUUUUGUUGCUAUAGUGCUCCCUAUUUCCUGUGUGUUAACUGAUGCUGUUAUUCAUGCUCAAGUGUUUGCACUCCAUGCGUUUAUUUGGUAAUUAGUCUCUGAGCCAUUCAGGUCUGUCAAUAGUUUUCUCCACUGUUAAGGCAAGCUUCCUCUGUGCAUUCCUAAGAUUAUUCUCACUUUCUCAGUUAUGUUCAUGAUGGAUCCAAUGAUUUGAUUACAGCAGGUUAGUGUUGUGAUUCAUAAUAUUGGAUGUAAUCAAUGUUUGGAUUAAAAAAUAAGAACAUCUUCAAGUUAUUGGACUAAUAAACCUGAAGACAUAUGGUUAUGGUCCAUGAUAAAGUGAUACAACUUUCAAUGCUUGUACCUAAUAUAACAGGGUAUUAAAAGAUUUCAGAGAAAGCAAUUCAACAGAUUUCAGAUAUAUAUAUAUUUUGCAUUCCAGAUGAAUUUGUUUAGUCCUGGGUUCUAUCUUAACUGUCUUAAUGACUAAUUGUUCCUGAACAACCUUCCGACAACAUUCAAUCAAGUAACAAAAGAGCAUUCAAUCAAAAAGAAUAUUUCUUGACCCUGUCGUCUCCUCUCUUCUCUCUGGGACCACAGGCCUGCUUGGCAUUUGUUUUUUUUUCCUCUAUUUUAAAAAUAAAAUCACAAAAACUGAGAUAAAAUCUUGUGGGGUUGUGUUACUUUUUUUUUUAAUAUUUUUUAUUAUUUUUGAAAAAAAUGAAAAUAAGAAAUUUUUAUUUUCAAUAUUUAAAAAAAAUAAUUAAUAUUUGCAUCAUCACCUUCACCACCAUUAUAGUUAUCUAGGCCACAAUCACAAUCGUUACCUCGCCUUUGCUAUUGCCCCUCCACCAUAUUGUAGAUGCUAUCGUCAUUGGUGCUAUACCAUAAUCAUGACCGUCAUUACCUUCAUUAUAUGGUUGGCACCUUUAUCACCACCAUAUCCACCAUUGCCUCCACCAAACCAUCAUUAUUAUUGCCAUCAUUUCUGCCACAUCAUCAAUGGUCUUGUCUCAUUGUAGCCUCUUGUAUUAUCUAGUUGUUUUUUUGGCCACGAGCAUCAUUGGGCCUACACUGUCUUCAUCACUAUUAUCAUUAUCUCCGUCGUCAUUAUCAUAUUUAUACUUAAAUAUAAAUGACUAUAUCAAAUACAUUAUUUUUUAUAAUUAAAAAAUAAAAAUAAAAAUUAAUGUUUUUAGAGGAAAAAAAUGAGAGUGAUGCUAAAGAAUAUCUACGGAGUUCUCUUUAUUAAUUUGGACUGCAUAUUAGAAGUGGUGAGGCUAAGUUAGGUUGCAACUUGUGUGGGGUUCUUAAAUGUUCCCUUCCAAUUUUGCAUGCCAAACCAAAGCUUGAUGGACAGAUUGUGUUCAGAGAGGUUCAGAGAGGAGAUCUGAGAGAAGAUACCAGAAUGAUAACUCAAGGGAAAAUGUAAAACGAUCUAUCAUCCAAGUACCUGCAGAGGUGGCUCCAAUGGCGUUCUUUUUGCCAUCCUCGGUAUGGAGGACCAACCUUGUGGUGUAGUUACUGUUUGCAGCAUAGAAAUCAUUGAUUGCCAUUGAGAUGCUUGUCUGGCUCAUCUUUCCAACCAGUGUUCCUGUGUCGAGGAUUAGACCAACAUGGAAUGAGACUAUCAUAGUACUUCCGUUGCCAUUCUGAGCCUUUGCUAUGGAAGACAAAAGGAGAAAGAAGAGAAGUGUUGCCCUCUUCAUCAGAAGCUGCCUUGCAAAGGAUCAACGAGGAGGAAGAAGAGUUUGGGAUGGUUGAGUUAGGAGAACUGGUGUAAAUAUAUGAACAUUUGACUUUGAUUAUGUUCACCUUGUGGUGAGUAUAAGGUAUCCAGUCUUUUGAACAGAAUGCACAUAAAGCUUCUAACUUUUUUUUUUGGUAAGAAACAUAAAGCUUCUAAAUGAAAGCCAAUCUAUU
rnacentral:lncRNA from 1 species